GUUUCACUGUCAGAAGACGACCU
rnacentral:piRNA from 1 species